UAAGGGUGAGGCUGCAAUGAAGCCUGGUUUUAAAUGGUCACUUGAACCGGGGAGAGCAAAUAGUGAAACCAGCCUCACCUUUU
rnacentral:ncRNA from 1 species